CGCUUGGGUUCCCUACCCCAGUGUGGAAGCUUUGUUCUUUUGCUCUUUGCAAUAAAUCUUGCUGCUGCUCACUCUUUGGGUCUGCACUGCCUUUAUGAGCUGUAACACUCACAGCGAAGGUCUGCAUCUUCACUCCUGAGGCCAGUGAGACCACGAACUCACCUGGAGGAAUGAACAACUCCGGACGGGAGGAACAAACAACUCCAGACGCGCCACCUGAAGAGCUGUAACACUCACCACGAAGGUCUGCAGCUUCACUCCUGAAGCCAGCGAGACCAUGAACCCACCAGAAGGAAGAAACUCCAAACACAUCCGAACAUCAGAAGGAACAAACUCCGGACACACCAUCUUUAAGAACUGUAACACUCACCACAAGGGUCCACAGCUUCAUUCUUGAAGUCAAUGAGACCAAGAACCCACCAAUUCCAGAUACAAGGGGAAGGGAAUCCAGAAACCUGACGUGCCAGCAAAAGGGUAAAAGUUUCUUUUACCAGUUGGACUUUUGGCCUCUCCCUCCGUGUGCAAACCGGUAAAAGGAAUGUGCUCCAGUCAUAUAACCAAGUUAGUAGUGUUCUACCUUACCAGAGGAGAACUGAAGAACUUUGAACUGUGAACUUUCCCAAGGAAAGUGCGACAACUGAAACUUAGGAUUGCAACCAGAGGGGCUCCUCUUACCUCUGCAUCAAAGCGCGGAUCCUGUAUAUAUUGAGCACUGCCAGGAGCCGUGGAGAUACAAAAUUGAGAACUGUUCAAAUUAGUAUUGGCAAGGAAAAUUUUCCUGGAGGAUGUCUGAUUUGUCGCUUGGCAAGUGAUAACUGAAAUUAUGUGGAUGGAUGCAAGCAUACUAGGGCAAGGUUUUCAAGCUGCCUUAUGUGGAACCCUGGAUUUCAUGAGAUGUUAAAUGAGUAUACUACAGCAAGAAUAAUCAUCACUCUAUUGACUUUUUAAUCUAAACUGCACUAUAUGUAAGAAAACACUAAAUGUGCACAUCGUCUUUGUUAUUAUGCAAUAAUGUCCCUGUGUAAAAUUAUGCCAUGUUGAGAAGGCAGGAAACUGCAUGGAAAGGCCAUUGGAUGCAUGAGUGAGUGGGACACAUAGACAUUAUUUAACAUCAUUAAUAUAUCUCAUCUGUAAUGAUUGCUGGCCUGUGUCUGAUAAAUUCAGCAUGUAUUUGUAAUGUUAUUCAUCCCUUAUUGCAUAUUAAACAUUAAUAAUACAUAAACUUUAUUCUCUAUGGCUCUCUGGCUGAAAAAUGGAAGUUUUAAUAAAAAGCUGAGUCUUGUAGUUCUUAGAUGGCACCUAAAUCAAAGAAGUAAAA
rnacentral:lncRNA from 1 species